rnacentral:rRNA from 1 species
GCUCAAGAAAAGAAUCUUAGUUCAACCUAAAGCCCUCAACUGUUUCUGUAAACUAACCUCUGGCUUUAGAGCAAUUCUAAUAGGGCACAGCCUGUUAGAAGAAGAAUACAGCCUAACCUUAUGGGUAAACACAAAGCCCAAGCAAUUAAGUGGGCCUAAUAGCAGCCACCUUAAAAUAAAACGUCCAAGCCAAACUGCUAACGCUUUAAAUAACCAAUUCCCCCUGAACCCUUUUACACUACUGAGCUAUUCUAUGUCCUCAUAGAAAUAUUUAUGUUAAAACUAGUAAUAAGAAAAUAGAAUUUCUCUUAAAUGCAAAUGUAAAUCAGAUUUGACCCCCCACUGAGCCUUAACAGCCCCCAAUAAAUACUAAAAACACAAGAAAACUCCUAUUUAUCCCACUGUUAACCUGACACAAGAGCAUUACAAGAAAGAUUAGAAGAGAAAGAAGGAACUCGGCAAACCUAAUUCCGCCUGUUUACCAAAAACAUCGCCUUUUGAAAUAUAUAAGAGGUCCAGCCUGCCCAGUGACUCAUGUUUAACGGCCGCGGUAUCCUAACCGCGCAAAGGUAGCACAAGUAAUUGUCUUUUAAUUGUAGAAGUGAAUGAAAGGCACCACGAGGAUUAAGCUGUCUCCUUUCUCCAAUCAAUGAAACUAAUCUUCUCGUGAAAAAGCGAGAAUAACCCCAUAAGACGAAAAGACCCUAUGGAGCUUUAAACAACUAACACCUGCUCACAGUACCCCGAGCACCCUGAUUACAAGUUUUUGGUUGGGGCGACCACGGAGCACAACACACCCCCCGCGUUGAAGACACUUCGUAAAUAAAUAAGCAACAGCUUUAUGAAUCAAUAAAUUGACACAAUUGACCCAAUAUUUUGAUCAACGAACCCAGUUACCCUAGGGAUAACAGCGCCAUCCGCUUCAAGAGCACACAUCGACAAGCGGGCUUACGACCUCGAUGUUGGAUCCGGGUAACCAAGUGGAGUAACUUCUACUUAAGGUUCGUUUGUUCAACGAUUAAAACCCGACGUGAUCUGAGU